AAGUCGUAACAAGGUUUCCGUAGGUGAACCUGCGGAAGGAUCAUUAAAGAGUUCAUGCCCUAACGGGUAGAUGCUCCCACCCUAUGUUAUUCAUUACUUUUGUUGCUUUGGCGGGCCGUCAGGCUCACCCCCGGCUACCGGCUCACGCUGGUAAGCGCCCGCCAGAGAACCCCCAAACCCUGAAUAUUAGUGUCGUCUGAGUACUAUAUAAUAGUUAAAA
rnacentral:misc_RNA from 1 species